rfam:Stegodyphus mimosarum contig37172, whole genome shotgun sequence.
GCCUUCUUGUUGUAAUGGUCAGCAUGCUCGGCUCGUAUUCGAGAGGUCCGAGGUUCGAGUCUCGGAGAGGGCA